rnacentral:lncRNA from 1 species
GUUGAUGUGAGUCUGCCAGGCAUGGUGGUACACGCCUGUAAUCCCAGCUACUCAGGAGGCUGAGGCAGGAGGAUCUCUUGAGCCCAGGAGUUCAAGGCUGCAAUGAGCUAUGAUCACGCCACUGCACUCCAGCCUGGGUGACAGAGUGAGAGUCAAAACAAAACAAAAUAAAACAAACAAAAAGCCUGGUUAAGGUGAAUCUAACUGGGCUUUGGCUUACCUUCUCUUUUUUGGGAGGUAGAAGGUUUUUGGAAGGUAGAAGGAUGUAUUGCAAUGAUUCCCCAGCUUCAUUCACUAGCACACCACCUUCAUGAUUUUUGACGUGUCCACAUAUCAGUUGUACUAUUAUUUUCUUAAUUAGACUUUCUUAUUUUCUUAUCUUCACCUAUGAUAUUUUUUAAUGGAACCAUGGCUUUGCAAUACAUAUGAUGUUUUUUCAAAUAUACAUUAAAAUGCAAAACUAUUAAAAUAAUUUUUUUUUUACCACCUAAGAUUAUUUUAUGUGUACUACCUUAGGAAACAAUGUCAUGUAGGCUUUGGAAUCAGGCAGGCUUGUUCAGGUAAUACCUGUAUGUCCUUGGGCAAGCCACACUCUCUAACCUCCAAUAUUGUCAUAAUAAGUGUGUCUUCCUUAGGAUUUUGGUGAGGGCUAGAUGGGUCAGUUUGUGUGUGUGUGUCUGUGUGUGUGUUGCGUGUCUGUGUGUGUAGAUGUGGGUCUCACUGUGUUGCUCAGGCUGGUCUCAAACUUCUGGGCUCAAAUGAUCCUCCUGCCUCGGCCUUCCAAGUGCUGGAAUCACAGACGUAAGCCACUGCACCCAGCCCUAGAUGGGAUGAUUUAAACACUGUGUUUCAACUGCCUUGCACGUGGGUAACACCUAGUAAGUACUCAGUCACUGUUAACCAUUGCUGUUCCUGCAUUCUCUAUUUCUGCACUUUGUCUGCUUCUCUGUAUUUCCUUUCUUUCCUUUUUGGUCUGUUUGCAGCAGGAACCAGCAUGGAAUGGGUUUGCUUACUGGAGCAUAUGAAAUGUAUGUAAAGCCCUCAGGGACCAGGACAGAAAGCUAAGUGUGGUGCCUCUGCGGGGUCCGGGUGUGUAUAAUAGAAUCUAAUGAUGUGACUUGUUAUCCCAUCGUGCUUGUGUGGUUGAGAUAAUAACAUUGUUUCUAUAGAACCUGCUUUAAAGGGUCAAAGCCCUCAUGGACAUUAUCUAGCUCAUCUCUCUUAAGUGUGGACAAGUGUUAUCGUCCUCGUUUUUCAGGUGGAGAAAUCAAGACCCCAACAGAGGGCUGACCAGGUUACUCAGCAAUGCUGUGGCAGAAACACACAAAAGAGUCCGUGGCUUGUGAUUCACAGGCCAAGACGCUGCCUUGGCGCAGCACUCCCCGUGUUGACGUGGAAGGUGGUGAUGGCAGUGAGCAAAAAAGUGAUCCAUGCACAGAUGCAUUUGUGAACGCCGGAUGAAACAAAGUUAAAAUAGGACCCAGCGGAUGAAGUGGACUGAAACACUGAAUCUGAAACAUUGAUGAUCACUACAGCAAAGGGAAGAGCUCGGUAAAUUGUGCAUAUCGUUCUUAGAUCUUCCACCCAAAAGUAACACUUCCACUUACAUGUAUUGGCCACGAGACAGGAUUGUGCCAUGUUGCCCAGGCUGGUCUGGAACUCCUGGACUCAAGUGAUCCACCCACCUCGAACCUCAACUUCCUAAAGUGCUGGGAUUACAGGCGCGAACCACUGUGUCUGGCCUCCGGGUGGUUUUAAGUGGGAACUUUUAUUUCUCACACAUUCUUCUGUAUAUUCUAUAUUUUCUACAAGAAAUAUAUAUUACUUUUCUAAUCAGGAA